AGUCGUAACAAGGUUUCCGUAGGUGAACCUGCGGAAGGAUCAUUGUCGAAACCUGCCUAGCAGAAUGACCCGCGAACUUGUAAUUGCACUCGAGGGGGUCUAGCGUGGGAAGCUCCGGCUUGUCGCGUUGUCCCCCUCCUGCUGCGGGGGGCGAGCGAGAUCUCGCUUGCUCCUUGUGGCUAAACAACGAACCCCCGGCGCGAGCUGCGCCAAGGAAAAUUUAACGAGAGAGAGCGCUCCCGUCGCUCCGGACACGGAUCGGCGUGCGGGAUGCGUCUCCUUCUUUCAACUAAAAUCUAAAACGACUCUCGGCAACGGAUAUCUCGGCUCUCGCAUCGAUGAAAAAUGCGAUACUUGGUGUGAAUUGCAGAAUCCCGUGAACCAUCGAGUCUUUGAACGCAAGUUGCGCCCCAAGCCUUUAGGCCGAGGGCACGUCUGCCUGGGUGUCACGCAUUGUUGCCCCCCCAACCCCCUCUUGGGGCAUAGUUGGAUGGGCGGAAAUUGGCCUCCCGUGCGCUCUUGCUCGCGGUUGGCCCAAAUUUGAGUCUUUCGGUGAUCGAGCCGCGACGAUCGGUGGUGGAACAUGCCCCUCGAGAUCUUGUCGCGUGCUCGUGUCUCUGUGCCAUAGGCUCGUGGACCCUUGUAAGCACCUUCUCUUUGAGACUGUGCUCGCUUUGCGACCCCAGGUCAGGCGGGACUACCCGCUGAGUUUAAGCA
rnacentral:sRNA from 1 species